rnacentral:rRNA from 1 species
AGAACGAACGCUGGCGGCAUGCCUAACACAUGCAAGUCGAACGAGAUCUUCGGAUCUAGUGGCGCACGGGUGCGUAACGCGUGGGAAUCUGCCUUUCGGUACGGAAUAACUCAUGGAAACGUGUGCUAAUACCGUAUGAUGUCGCGAGACCAAAGAUUUAUCGCCGAGAGAUGAGCCCGCGUAGGAUUAGCUAGUUGGUGGGGUAAAGGCCUACCAAGGCGACGAUCCUUAGCUGGUCUGAGAGGAUGAUCAGCCACACUGGGACUGAGACACGGCCCAGACUCCUACGGGAGGCAGCAGUGGGGAAUAUUGGACAAUGGGCGCAAGCCUGAUCCAGCAAUGCCGCGUGAGUGAUGAAGGCCUUAGGGUUGUAAAGCUCUUUUACCCGGGAAGAUAAUGACUGUACCGGGAGAAUAAGCCCGGCUAACUCCGUGCCAGCAGCCGC